rnacentral:rRNA from 1 species
AAUAUUGGACAAUGGGGGCAACCCUGAUCCAGCCAUGCCGCGUGUGUGAAGAAGGUCUUCGGAUUGUAAAGCACUUUAAGUUGGGAGGAAGGGCUUUGGGUUAAUACACUUAAGUUUUGACGUUCCCACCAGAAAACGCACCGGCUAACCUCGUCCCACCAGCCGAGGUAAUACAGAGGGUGCAAGCGUUAAUCGGAAUUACUGGGCGUAACGCGCGCGUAGGUGGUUCAGUAAGAUGGGUGUGAAAUCCCCGGGCUUAACCUGGGAACUGCUUUCAUAACUGCUGAGCUAGAGUACGGUAGAGGGUAGUGGAAUUUCCUGUGUAGCGGUGAAAUGCGUAGAUAUAGGAAGGAACACCAGUGGCGAAGGCGACUACCUGGACUGAUACUGACACUGAGGUGCGAAAGCGUGGGGAGCAAAC